rnacentral:rRNA from 1 species
CCUACGGGAGGCAGCAGUAGGGAAUCUUCCACAAUGGGCGAAAGCCUGAUGGAGCAACGCCGCGUGGGUGAAGAAGGUCUUCGGAUCGUAAAACCCUGUUGUUAGAGAAGAAAGUGCGUGAGAGUAACUGUUCACGUUUCGACGGUAUCUAACCAGAAAGCCACGGCUAACUACGUGCCAGCAGCCGCGGUAAUACGUAGGUGGCAAGCGUUAUCCGGAUUUGUUGGUCGUAAAGGGAACGCAGGCGGUCUUUUAAGUCUGAUGUGAAAGCUUUCGGCUUAACCGGAGUAGUGCAUUGGAAACUGGGAGACGUGAGGGGAGAAGAGGGAGGUGGAACUCCAUGUGUAGCGGUGAAAUGCGUAGAUAUCAGGAAGAACAC